rnacentral:tRNA from 3 species
UGUGGCAGAAUAGUGCAAUAAAUUUAAGCUUUAUUUAUAAAGUCCAGCUUUCUUUAGA